rnacentral:lncRNA from 1 species
UUAUCAUAUUGCAUGGCUCAGAGCAGCACGCAUGGACAUUCAGCAUCUGUAAGGGGACCAUGCAGCAGAGGCUGACAGUGGAGAGUGCAGUGCACAUAAAGACACGCCAGUGUUUGGUGAGAGGGACUUGAUCCAGAUCAGCAAAAGCGAAGUGACUGAUGUGCACAGCGGUGUGCAAAUGGCGACUAUGGGAUAGCAAUGGCCGAUGUCAGGCUGCUGGCAGAGAGCGCAAGACAUGAUGGAAACACCAUUGGCCACAAGUCUACAGAGGUCUUGGCGCUGACCUGGAUGCUUCCUUUGAAGCUGGUAAAGUUGUCCAUUUAUAACUAUCUGCACCCGGCCAAGCUGCUGGAUGCUCUUAUUACCUGCAGUUAUGUCCCCACUUCCACAGAUGCAAGAGAAGAUCUGUUUGCCUUCUGAGAAGACUUGAUAUACCUCCUGAGAGGCUAACGGACAUGCUCAGGCUCAGCCAGCUUGUGACACAAUAAACAUAUCCACAUUGGUGAGAGGACAAGAAGAGCCCAGUGGACACAGAGCUCUGUGGAGAAGGAUACCAAGGUCAGGUCAGGAUGGGGAGCCUUCCCAUGGUCAAUAAUGUGUCUGGGGCCACCUCCUGUGCUCAUGACAGUG